ensembl:misc_RNA Metazoa_SRP Metazoan signal recognition particle RNA
GCCGGGUGUGGUGGCGCACGCCUGUAAUCCCAGCUACUCGGAGGCUGAGGGAGGAGAAUCGCUUGAUCCCGGAAGGAGGAGACUGCAGUGAGCCGAGAUUGCACCACUGCACUCUAGCCUGGGCAACAGAGUGAGACUCCUUCUCAA